UCCCUUGUCCUGAGAGCAUGCUCUCCACAAAUCUCAUGGGAAAGGCUGUCUCACACACCUGUUUCCCUCUCUCUAUUCUUCCAGGCUCUCUUGGAUUUGCCUGGCUCCAUGUCUGCAGGAUCAGCACUGUCUCCAGAAGAUGGUUCCCAGCUAGGUUAGGCUUGCAUCUUCUGAUUUCCAACCUCAUUUCCUCUCUUAAUUCCAGCCUUCUGCCUUUCGACUUCUCCCAAGAUGAUGAAUUUAAAAUUUUAUGGAGUCAAACUGAUCAACCAUGCUGCCGAUGAUAAUGGCCAACAUUUAUUAAAGACUUACUAUUUGUGGAGUUCCCUUGUGGUAUGGUGGGUUAAGAAUCUGGUCACUGCACCAGCUUAGGUCACUGCUGUGUCUUUGGUUCAAUCCCUGGCCUGGGAACUUCUGCCCAUGUUGCAGGUGAGACCAAAACAGGUAAGCAAGCAAACAAACCAAAACCACCCCCAAACCAACCAACCAACCAAACAAAAAAAGAGUUACCAUUUGCUUAUUCUAUAUGAUUCCCAAGGCUGCUGUAUCAGUCAACUAAUGAUAUGUAUUUACACUGACCUCCCAUCCAGCUUAAGAUAUAACACAAUGACUCUAAAAGCAACUACAUGAAUACUAAAGUGAUCAUAGGCAACUUUUCUUACUAUAUUUAGGCAGAAAUCCCAAAUCUUGAGAAACUGUUUUCAUUUAGAAAAGACACAAUGGGAGUUCUUGUUGUGGCUCAGAAGAAACAAAUCUGACUAGUAUCCAUGAGGACACAAGUUCAAUCCCUGGCCUUGCUCAGUGGGUUAAGGAUCCAGUGUUGCUAUGAGCUGCGGUGUAGGUCACAGAUGCAACUUGGAUCUGGUGUUGCUGUGGCUGUGGCGUAGGCCGGUGGCUACAGCUCCAAUUCAAUUCCUAGCCUGGGAAUCUCCAUAUUCCAUGGGUGCACACCUAAAAAGACAGAAAAGAUAAGGCAAGACAAGACACAAUGUAAAACACAAACCAGUAAUAUGGUGCCUGUGAAAAUCUCUAAAACAUAAAAUGAGUAAAUAUUAUAACAUGCAACAUGCAGGUGGUAAAGGAAGACCAUAGUUAUGAAAAUGCUUACUAUUGGAAUAAAUAGUAAACUUUAUAUGUACUCUACUUUGUGCUUAUGACAUAUCUGGAAAACUAUAAUCUCUGCAAAAUAAGAUAUGAAAGCUAAGAUCAAACUCAAUUAUAAAGAAGGGAUCUUGCUAGAUAGAGCUAAGAAAAGAAUUUAUAGUAACUAGUAAUACUGGAGUAAAAUUUAAAACAGGAAAGGUAAAAGCAAUAAGGACUAGCUCUGCAGAAGGGUGAUCCUGCAGUGUGGGGGUAUGUUUGAGAAGCUAUUACAAAACACAAAACUUAUUGUAAAGAUACAAGUUAAACAAAAUCAUUCAAGAAGAUAAUAUUAGAGAAGAUAUGAAGAAAUAAUUGGAUCCUAAAGAUGUUAGAAUGACUAAAGCAGAAGCAUUAUUCUGAGGUACAGGAGAGUUCCUAGGCUAAGUGAAGGACGAAGGCUUACAUUUUCUUCAUGAGGGAGCCAGCAAGUGUCAAGUCACUGGACUGAAAAGAGACAUCUCUUUUUUCCUGCCAGCAGGUUUAAGUGUCUUGUCAGACUGUCAAGGUGUCAAAAGAAAAGGAGGGCAUCCAAACACACAGGUAGGAAAGCAGGUCAUCCAUGAAGAAAGAAACCUUAAACUCACUUCAAGUUUCUUUUCUCCAGUAUGCGACAAUGUAAGACAAAGUUAUGACUCAAGUAUCCUCAACGUAAACCAAUUACAGGAGCAGAGAAAAUAAAAGCAUUGGAAAAUAUGGAAAACAUGAGGCAGAGAAGGACUUGUGUUUGAAACAAUUUAAAUAUGGUUAAGUCAAAAUGACUGGUACAAACAGUUCACAAAGACAAUUCACCUGUUAUUAAUACAUAAUGAAACAGGUGACACAUUAUUUAGGACAGAUGACACAUAAUUUAGCUUUAAUAGUAAGAAAAAUACCACAAGUUGUAGUAACAAAACACAAGUAGUGAAGGGUUGGGGGAUGGAGGAGAAAGCCGGGGUUGUGUUAACUUCCUUAUUUUAGGGGAAGAAUUAACAAGCACAACAACUAUGGUAUUAGUUACAGGUGAUACUUGAGUCCUUACAAUGUGUCACAUACUGUUUCCAGAAUUUUACAUGUAUCAUAAUCCUGUAAUCCACC
rnacentral:lncRNA from 9 species